UCCCCUGCCCACGUGAUUUGCCCACUUGCCGAGCUGGACCCUGAACCUCAGGGCCCUCGGGGAAGACCAUGGGCGUGAUACGCAGAAGGAGAUGCUGGGAGUAAAGGACCCAGGGCCCAGAUAUCCUAGACGCCUCUAACGUCAAGAGGAGGCCAAAGAUGAGCGCCUGGGGCCACUUUGGGGAGGUCUGGGGUGGGGUGGGGCCGGUGCCGCCUCGACGACCCUCCCCAGCAGGCACACAUCUUCGUGCGCUCGUCAGCAGGAGCGUCUCGCUCACACCCACCCUGCUUCCAGCAGCGGCGUGACCUGUGGUUGUUGGUGCCUCGGGGACGUGGCCAUUUCUCCGGGGGUGGGGGCUGUGCUGCUGGAGGAAGCAGGUGCCGUGAGGCGGUUCUGGCUUGCCACGUUGUCAUGCUUGUUUUCAAGUGGUUUUGCUCAAGCAAACUGGAAAUGCCUUCCGGUGAACCCUGGGCCCCCUUAAAUCUGCGUGACGGGGUGGGAUUACAGGGAGUCCAGUGCUGCGUGUUUAUUCACUAGGUUUUACUCACGACAUUGCUGUUUAUGAGAACUGAGUGUGUCCAAAAUGCCGCUAGCAGGCUAGAAGCCUGCCUCCUCCCCCCAGAAUGUCCUGCCCAGAAGACAUCGGACUGGGAUUGCAGAAUAGACAGUGUUGGUUGAAACCAAGGCAGGUAACUUUACCUGUGUUGGUAGCUACACAGGGGUACAGACUCCCUCUUUCCCCUGGGGGAUUCUCGGUGUCCGUUUGGGGUUAGAGCCAGGAAUCGCCGGGUUCUGGAAGCUCUUGGAAUUCUCUGCCCCUAAACACAACUGUCAUCAGUGAAUAUUCUCACGCCGGGAGCGGCUUCUCAAUAUCCUUUGCACCAACACGAACAUGUGCACGCGCAUGGAUGUUACCUCUUCUGUACGCACGCACACAUGCACACACACACGUGGGGUUUCACAUCCCUUUGUAUGUUGUUCUUGCUGGUGGAGUGUCUGUGUUGACGCCCCAACUGGAUGUCAACUUGCUCUGAGCCCCCCUGGCAACAAGGUUCCUGGGCUGAGACGAAAGGGGCUGCAAACAGGAGCAGGGUGUGGGGAGCAGGCCUGGAAGCCGGCAGUGUGUCGGCUGGGGCCUGGCGAGGACGCCGCGUGCCGGGCCGCGCCACCCUGGGGCACAGCGGCCGCUGCCCCGAGUGGACCUCUUCUGCGGGGCACCCCCACACCUGCCUUUGGACAAUGUGCUCCGCCAGCCCCGUGCGUCCACGCGCCUGUGGCACAGCCACAAACAGGAACAUCACAGGGCGCCCUGGGACCGCGGCCGGCGACCGUCACAUGAUGUCCCCCCCACCCCCCCCCACCCCACCGUACCGGGAUCCAGCAGUUUCUGCAAGGCUUUUGUCUGCCAUAUUGGACUUAGACGAAUAGCCACAGAACGAGCAGGGAACGGCCACACUCGCCUCGUGGAACGCGGGCCAGGUGCACUUUACGACCCCGGAGCCUCAGUGCCGAGGGAGCCACUGUUGACAUCCAGCCUGAAGCCCCAGUUUCGCCUGUAAGACGAUCGGCAGAGAAGGAGUUCUGAAGUCCCGUUCCUUCGGGCUGUCCCAGUUCCUUCCCCAGGUUAGAAAGGGCCACACCAGCGCCAGCCAGCGAGCUCUCAAGGGCUGCAGCCCGGGGACGCCUGCCGCCCUGGACCAGUCCUCUCUCACGAGGUGGCCGGGGAUUCUGGGCGGGAUCUGCCUCUGCCUCUGGCUCUCGCAGAACUGGAAUGAGCCAGAAUGGACCAGAAUGCCUCCAGAGACGCGCCGAGGUCGGAGGGCCAGAGCAUUCCUCCAGAUUCCCGCUUCGUCGUCCCCAUUCUGCUGGGGUCCCCGCCCCUCCUGUUGGGCACACACUCCCCUCCUGUACCAUCUGCCCGCUCCCCGCCUGGCGCCGUCAGCCUUCCCAGCUACAGCUGUGAGCCUUGGAGAGCUGGAGUUUGGUUUAGCAGAAAAAUGAAUUUGAAUUCUUC